GCUUGAACCUGCCAUAAAGGGGAGAGGCCUGGCACUGAGCAGGCUUUGUGAUUGCUGCAGCGCUGCUGGCUGGCCUCGCGCUGUUAUCGGAGGUGGCAGGCGUCUCUCGCCCGGAAAGGAGCACAUUACUGGCUGGCAGGGGAAUCAAACGAGAUGGCAGAUGGGAACGGCAGAUAAAUACGAACACGGCAGAGAGGAGGAGAGAGUCCUGGAGUUGGAUCUGGAGAAAUGGAAUCAAUUACUUGCUCUGAAUCUUGGACAAGUCACUUAAUCUUUUCUGAGCUUCACUUUCUUCAUCUGUAAAAUAACGAUGAUGUGCCUGCGCUGCCCAGCUCACUGGGGAGGAAGAUGCUGUAAACUGUAAAUCUUCCGAGAAACAUCUUCUUCUUGUUGUUGUUUUGUUAAAGGUUGCCCUUUAACCUUUAACCUCUGAGGGACACUUGCCCCUGAUCUGUGUUGAAUUGGACCUACCCAUUGCAGACCACUGGGUAGACUGCUCAGGUCCUGCCUUGCUCCUUUGAAUUCUGCUGCCUAUGUGUAUCAUGUCAUUCCCUGUGAGCUCCUUGGUGGACAGCCACUCUUAGAAAAGUCUGAUAGGCUGAGUUGACCUCAGGAUGCUGUGUAAGACCUGCUACCCUGCUAUCACUACCCUGACUCUCCUCAUCUGGACUCGCUCCCAGAAUUCCAGAAACCACAUUCCCAGUCCUUGGGGAAGUUUAUUACUUUAGUUUUGUAACUCCCGCCCUGGGGCUCAGCUGCCAUGAUUUGGUGAAU